UGGGAACCAGUGGUACCGUCAUUGACUCGUGUUUGUCAAAAACGUUGUGAGCAAAAGCAUCUCGCUAAUUUUCUCCAAGAAAACGAAGGACUUUUUGGUCAGAGUUUUAUUUCACACAUGACAACUCAGUAAAAUACGGUGCAUAAAAGAGGCGGCCGCAAGCUUGUCGAAGGUUUGGCAGCGCCAUUGAGAUGCCAAGCUGGUUGACCACACCCUUGCCAUUGUUUUCAACAGUUCCACAUGAUCAUAGCAUCCUUAAGAACUAAAGCCUCGUUUUUAAUGAACUCCACCAUUCGGUCCUUCAUCUCUGCUGACUUUGUCUUGAACGUGGAGGUGAGUCGGCCCAUCAGUGCUGCUCC